GACGAACGCUGGCGGCGUGCCUAAUACAUGCAAGUAGAACGCAGUUUCGAACGGGUGAGUAACGCGUAUGUAACCUGCCUCAUAGCGGGGGAUAACUAUUGGAAACGAUAGCUAAUAACGCAUACUGUUAGAUGGACCUGCGUGGUAUUAGCUAGUUGGUGAGGUAAAGGCUCACCAAGGCGACGAUACAUCGCCGACCUGAGAGGGUGAUCGGCCACACUGGGACUGAGACACGGCCCAGACUCCUACGGGAGGCAGCAGUGGGGAAUAUUGCACAAUGGGCGCAAGCCUGAUGCAGCAAUGCCGCGUGUAUGAAGAAGGCCUUCGGUUUGUAAAGUACUUUCAGCGGGGAGGCGUUACCCGCAGAGAAAGCACCGGCUAACUCCGUGCCAGCAGCCGCGGUAAUAC
rnacentral:rRNA from 1 species